rnacentral:rRNA from 1 species
AACGAACGCUGGCGGCAGGCUUAACACAUGCAAGUCGAGCGCCUCGCAAGAGGAGCGGCCGACGGGUGAGUACCGCGUGGGAACGUACCCUUAUCUUCGGAAUAGCUCUGGGAAACUGGAAGUAAUACCGAAUGUGCCCUUAGGGGGAAAGAUUUAUCGGAUAAGGAUCGGCCCGCGUUGGAUUAGCUAGUUGGUGGGGUAAAGGCCUACCAAGGCGACGAUCCAUAGCUGGUCUGAGAGGAUGAUCAGCCACAUUGGGACUGAGACACGGCCCAAACUCCUACGGGAGGCAGCAGUGGGGAAUAUUGGACAAUGGGCGCAAGCCUGAUCCAGCCAUGCCGCGUGAGUGAUGAAGGCCUUAGGGUUGUAAAGCUCUUUCACCGGAGAAGAUAAUGACGGUAUCCGGAGAAGAAGCCCCGGCUAACUUCGUG